rnacentral:tRNA from 1 species
GCAGUGGUGGUUCAGUGGCAGAGUUCUCAUCUUUCAUAAGGAAACCUGGGUUCAAUUCCUGGCCAGUGCC